GGCCUGGUGGUGUAGUGGUUACACGUCCUCAUAUAGUGAGGCAGAAUGUGUCAUUGAGAGGAAGUUCCCGGUUCGACUCCGGGUUAGGCCU